ensembl:lncRNA
UGAAAGGCAGGCAUUUCAGAGCUCCUCUUGAAUAAUUAGAAGCAAAACUAUUGCAUGAAACCAGUGUCUUCUUGUACUAGUGUGUGAUCUAGGAUCUAACUUAUGAGUUAUUGAUCUGGUUGUAUUCAGACCUAUUUCUGUUGCUGGGGUGGAAUUUUGCAUCUAAACAAAUGAUGAGACAUUUAUAAGCUAGCACUUCGUUCCCCUUGUGGCUGAUGGAUUGUCUGGUGGGGGAGUGUUACCUUGUUCUCAGCACGGGUGAGACGGAACGUCAGCCUUCACCUUGCAAUCCUUGUGGACUCACCCAGUGCAAAUAUGGGUCAGCAACCAGGAGUAUGAUGAAUCCAGAAAUCCAGGCUGGCCACUGGCUACCACAAAUCCUCCUAGAUGACUGGUCUUACGUCACACCUUUGACAAAAAAUAAAACCCAACAACCACCUAGAACUGAGCAAAAUAAAUAUAAAAUUCGUCAUUAUUUGGGGUUAAAGGAGGGCUGGCAUUUAACUCAGGAUUUAAAAACUGGAAUAGUGAAGGUGACAGUAGCCAUCUAACUUGUUGGAGUGAUUAUUGUCAAACUUCUACUACACAUCCGAGGACUCUGAUUGUACAUUUCUUUCUUUGUGCCAGGCACCAUGCAAACACGGAGGUAAACACACUUCCAAUAUCUUUUCCAUGUGUCAGGGCAAAGGUUUGUAAAGAAAUCCUCUCUUCUGGAGUUUUUAGAUCAUGUCUGCACACAUAUCUUGCACCAGGUCAGCUAAAACUGAUGCAAAUUUUGCUCUAAAUCAGUCAGAAGAGGUAAAAAAGGGCAUUUUAGGCAGGAAGAUUAUUUAAGGAAUCAUUCAUUUUACCUGAGAUAUUCUCAGAAAGAAAGUAUUGAAACAAAUGAAGAUUUUCCCUAGGUAGCAGGAGGAAAUUCUCUGUGAAUUAGUCUGAGUAAACUAGUGUUUUGGGAAACUAAAAUUUUGUGAAACCUUUUUGUUGCAGAAGUUUAGUUGGGGGGUUGGGGGAGGGGAGUUAAUUCUGCCAGAAGGGAGAGGAAAAGAUUGUUUUCUUAGCUGAGUGUUCAGAAUUAAAUCAUGUUGCAGCUCAUGCUCAUUGUUUUGUAGACAGCUAGGGAAUGGGUGUUAUACAGUAGAUAGAUUUAGGCAACUGAGGUUAGUCAACCACGUAUAACCCAAGGUUUCUGCAAGAACUUGGACAGUCCAGGAACCUUUUGAGAAUUUGUUGAUCCAGUGGUUGCUACAAAUCUACAAUUAUUUAUAGAUGUAUGUGCUGCAGCACUUGCCAUUUUGAGCAAAGGCAGCAGGACCAGUAAAAAACAAACAUUUAUACUAUGUGUGGUUCCAUUUAUGAUGUAUUAAAGAUCCAUGUAGUCAGGGAAUGAGAUAUAAUCCACUGUUUAUUUAAUGGGAUAUGCUGCCAUAUUGUAAUGUAAUUUAGAAGUGUAUGACCUACUAAUUCAUAAUGCUGAAGUAUGAACAAAAAUUAUUUUAUGUAGUUGAUUUGUAAGGACAAGUUAUUCUUUAAGAUUCAGUCGAUCUAUAUUUU